UAUUUUGAGAUCCAACCCUGUAAACGUAAUUUACCUGAUGACCCACGAGUGGAGGAGCUUCUCAUUUCAUACAAGCGCAUUUUCGUCCACGUUGAGUUGUUCGAUCAGGUCCAUUGUCUACUUGUGGAAUUGUGACUCUCCUUGCCGCCGCUAGUUAACGCCUACAGCUGCUAAAUAUACACCUACACAGGCUAACUUAACUCGUUCUUUAAUAUGCUAAUUUUACUAGCCAAUUUCCCUAGCUCCUACUUUCAACCAGAUUUCACAGUUUGAAGGAACUUCCUUUUCCACUGCAAGCAGUUUGAACCUUUACAAGGGAACCAUGAAGAGGAGCUUGGAGUGGGCAAGGGGGAGGCUGAUGAAGCAGCAGAGGAGGAGACCUGAUUCAUCAAGUACCAAUUCAUUCUGGUCAUUCUUAACUGGUUGGCCAUGCAUGCACAACACAAGACACUUCAAUCUGACACUCUUUUUAAUGUUUGACGUCAGGCAAAAUGUCUUCAGCCACCGUAGGACACAGAGCCGCUGGUUGGCAUCGGACUGCAGUGUCUGUGGGUGUACCAGGAAAUGACGUUAGAAGUUAGGGCCCCAUGAUAUCGAAGCUUCUUACCAUUUCAACUGCAGCCCAGUUGAUAUCGAUUUAAAAAAAACUGGAACAAUAGAUUGUGUAGCACAAUGUACAACUCCAGUUUGCCUAUUGUCCCAACAAAUGUCAAUUAUACAUUUUUACAUACAUCAGAGCAUUUUAUAGCUCUGCUUUCAACGCCAUCCUGACCUACAAACGGGUUAGCAGACUCAGGGCUCUGGGUGUAAAUCCUUUAACAACAAAUUUAGAUUUUUUUUAAACAUUAUAAGAAUUUGUAUCCCCAGAAUGGACAAAAGACACUACCAUGGUACACAUGAGUACAUGAAGGAGCUGUGGGACCUGACAUAAUGGUGAUACGUAAACAAAGUAGAUGGUGAUACUUGACCAUUCUCCCAUCUACUGUACAUUGACAUGGAGAUGAUCAGCAGCUUCAAGUUCCUGGGCACCCUGAUAUCCUUUUCUGCCCUCAGUUACUUCACUCAAAGUCCCUCUUGUGCUUCUCCACUACCCUUAAACUUGCUGCACCACGACCUAUGUACCAACUACAGUGUCGUUUAUUGCCAUUGCACCUGUAAAAGAAAUGUCCAUAUUUAUUGUAAGAUUUAUUUAUGGUAACAUUGCACAUAUUGUAAAAUAGUACUUGACAUACAUGACUUAACUAAUUUGCAUAAUGCUCAGUUUACCCACUGUAAUAAAUCAUACAUGUAUUAAAAUAUUAAA